rnacentral:rRNA from 1 species
AGGACGAACGCUGGCGGCGUGCCUAACACAUGCAAGUCGAACGAGGUCCAUCCGGUGGCAACACCGGUGAAGAUCUAGUGGCGAACGGGUGCGGAACACGUGAGCAACCUGCCCCGAAGACCGGGAUAACAGCGGGAAACUGCUGCUAAUACCGGAUGUCCCCACCGGUCCCGCAUGGGACUGUGAGGAAAGGAUUCCGCUUCGGGAGGGGCUCGCGGCCUAUCAGCUUGUUGGUGAGGUAACGGCUCACCAAGGCGACGACGGGUAGCUGGUCUGAGAGGACGAUCAGCCACACUGGGACUGAGACACAGCCCAGACUCCUACGGGAGGCAGCAGUGGGGAAUCUUGCGCAAUGGGCGAAAGCCUGACGCAGCAACGCCGCGUGGGGAUGAAGGCCUUCGGUUGUAACCCUUCAGUGGGACGAAUUGACGGUACCACAGAAGAACGCCCGGCCAACUACGUGCCAGCAGCCGC